rnacentral:pre_miRNA from 1 species
CAUGCAAUUGCUGGAUUGCAUGGUAAGAAUAUGUUUAAUUUUGUAAGAAACUGCCAAACUGUCUUCCAAAGUGGCUGUACCAUUUUGCAUUCCCACCAGCAAU